CCGGCCUUUGUCACGCGGUAAGUGCGGCCGUGCCGGUGAGCGCGGCGGACAAAGAGGCGGCGGCGGGCCCUGGGCCGCGACGAUGCGGGCGAGCGGCCGCCGAUCCCCGGCGUACGGUCCCGGCUUUGUCUCCGGACCACGCGCCGCUCGAAGGCGGCGCGGAACCGGGUACCGGGCUAGCAGCGCGGCCGUGCGGGUGGAGAGCAAUGAAGCCGGAGGGCUGGAGAUAGCGCUGCGGGCGGCCCCUCGCCGGCUUUGUUUGAGCUUCUGGUGCCAAUAAGGCUGAAUCCCAGCACCGAACCCAGGCGCGGUCCGAGUCAAAACAGCAGCAGAGUUUCUUCUCAAAACAAAAAAACCCAAACGCUGGUUCCGAUGGUGACGAAAUGCAGCCUUAAUCAAAACGGGUACUGAAGCUGUUGAGUGAAACCAUGAAAUUCCAGAAAUUCUGCUUAAAUUUCCCUCGGCGCCUGCAAGAUAACGAAAAUACGGAACUUUGUCUCUUCACGUAAAAAUAAAAACAAAAUAACACUAAAACAAUCGGAGACGUAUUUGUAGGCAAUGGUUAAGUGAAGAUGCCUCCUGUCAGUGGCUCAGUCUAACUGUGUGAUGCAAUAUGCCAUAUUCCCAGCCCAAACUUCUCAUUUCAAUGGCAGCCGUCGCGUUGUUCCGAGCUGGCCCGGCCAUUGAAAGGUUCCACCCAGCUCUGCCAAGCUGAGGGCAGCGAGACUCAGCCGGGGGCUGCAAUGGGGACCCUGGGGUCCUCUGUGGGGCUCUGGGGGAGAUCCAUCCCUCAGUGGGUCAGCGUUUGAGGUUUCCACCUUUGCCCCGUCCCAUAGGGGCUGCUCGCAGGUGCGUGGCCACGCGCCGGGUGCCAAAGUCCGGCUGUCCCAAUCGUUGGGAAAGAGGGAGCAGCCCAUGUUUCCCCCUGGAACGCUCUGUUCCUGCCCCACGCUGCCUUCACGCAGCUCAGGAGCUCUUCUGAACAGGAAAAAAAACCUACAACAAAUGGUAGCUGAAGGGAAGAUUUUGUUUUCUCUAUAAAUUAUGUGUGGAAAAGGAACGAAAAAGAUGAGAUUUCACACCUGAAAUCCCCACCAGAACCCUCUCCUGUUUCCUUCUGCUGCAAAUAAAGUUGCAGUUGAUUCUUUCUAUUUUCAUACAAAAUACUGGGUCCUUUUCUUUCUUUCUUUCUUUCUUUCUUUCUUUCUUUCUUUCUUUCUUUCUUUCUU
ensembl:lncRNA